AUUGAACGCUGGCGGCAUGCCUAACACAUGCAAGUCGAGCGGAGCUGCGGACGGGUGAGUAAUGCCUAGGAAUCUGCCUGGUAGUGGGGGAUAUCGUCCGGAAACGGGCGCUAAUACCGCAUACGUUCAGAUGAGCCUCGGUCGGAUUGGCUCGUUGGUGGGGUAAAGGCCUACCAAGGAGACGAUCCGUAAACGGGCGGAGCGGAUGAUCAGUCACACUGGAACUGAGACACGGUCCAGACUCCUACGGGAGGCAGCAGUGGGGAAUAUUGGACAAUGGGCGAAAGCCUGAUCCAGCCAUGCCGCGUGUGUGAAGAAGGUCUUCGGAUUGUAAAGCACUUUAAGUUGGGAGGCGUUACCAACAGAAUAAGCACCGGCUAACUUCGUGCCAGCCGCCGCGGUAAUAC
rnacentral:rRNA from 1 species